CUUGGGAAGCAUAAAGUUUUCUUAAAGCAACCGACCGGUCUCUGUGUCAUCUAUCCCGACCACCUCGCUACAUUCUCGGAUGCAGGCCGCACAGCAGGUGCGACAGACUUUCAGUUGGGUGUCAACUGUGAGUGGUUGUCUCUAGUGGGCUCCUUGUAACAUUUUUUUGGAAGCCCCAGCAAGAUUUCCCAGAGACUGAACCCAGACACUUAGGGGCUUCAGGACCCCGAAAAGCAGGGAAGAGUAUGCCAGCUGGAGAAGACUUUUAGGAGAGCCCUGAGAAUAUACUCUUCGGCUGAUAGCAAUUAGCUGCCAAGUGCUCCACAGAUAUCCGCCGAUACUGCCACCCAAAAGAAGGUAAAUCCGAAGUCACCUGGUCGGAACAGGUCUGGAGGUAGGUGUGGUCUGUGGGAGGUGCCAUCUGAGUAGGACACAAAGGGGAGAUGGGAUAUGACCAAAGACCCAGUCAGUGCUCAGGAGCCACGUGAGACAUCAGUGGACUUCCGUGGACUGUUGAGGUGUCCGAAUGUGUGGUGGCCACCCCUAGGCUGCAUUUACUAUGUGUCUCCCUAUGGGUUUCUGUCACUUCUAUUAGUUGGAAAAACAGAUCUGAAACGGAAGGGGGAGUGAGCCAUCCUGAGGCUGCAGCUGCCACUGCCCCCGAAACAGUGAACGUACUUCCCGCAGUCCGUGGAUGGUCUUGGCCACGGCUCUGUGACACCUGUAGAAGGCAAGAGGUCCUUGUGCACACAGGGCCAGGCGAAUCCUGACUCCCACAGACAUUAUAUUUACGUCAGUCAUUCCCCCUACACCCUCAUCUCAAUCAUUGUUUCUAAGUCAACAGAACGCAUCUUUGUGGAAACGCCAUAUGUACUUUGUAAAGGAUUUUAGUGUAAGCAUGUCCUAAGCUUUGCUGUAUACACGGGAUUGAGUUAAUUGUCAUCAAGAAACUACCCCCUCCCCACCCCCAAAUUGUGUUGUACUUAAAUUUGGCUGAAAUAAAACCACGUGGUACCAGGUUCUGUAAGUCUGAACCAGAAGCAGCUAACCAACUCAUGCCGAA